GACGAUCAGUAGCCGGACUGAGAGGUUGAACGGCCACAUUGGGACUGAGAUACGGCCCAGACUCCUACGGGAGGCAGCAGUCGGGAAUAUUGCGCAAUGGAGGAAACUCUGACGCAGUGACGCCGCGUAUAGGAUGAAGGUUCUCGGAUUGUAAACUAUUGUCAUUAGGGAAGAUUAAAGACUGUACCUAAAGAGGAAGCCCCGGCUAACUAUGUGCCAGCAGCCGCGGUAAUACAUAGGGGGCAAGCGUUAUCCGGAUUUAUUGGGUGUAAAGGGUGCGUAGACGGAGGAGCAAGUUGGUUGUGAAAUCCCUCGGCUUAACUGAGGAACUGCAACUGAAACUACUUCCCUUGAGUGUCGGAGGGGAAAGUGGAAUUCCUAGUGUAGCGGUGAAAUGCGUAGAUAUUAGGAGGAACACCGGUGGCGAAGGCGACUUUCUGGACGAUAACUGACGUUGAUGCACGAAAGUGUGGGGAGCAAACAGGAUUAGAUACCCUGGUAGUCCACACCGUAAACGAUGGAUACUAGGUGUAGGGUGUAUUAAGCACUCUGUGCCGCCGCUAACGCAUUAAGUAUCCCACCUGGGGAGUACGACCGCAAGGUUGAAACUCAAAGGAAUUGACG
rnacentral:rRNA from 1 species